rnacentral:rRNA from 1 species
CCUUUCGGGGGGGGGGACAGUAGGGAAUCUUCCACAAUGGGCGCAAGCCUGAUGGAGCAACACCGCGUGAGUGAAGAAGGGUUUCGGCUCGUAAAGCUCUGUUGUUGGAGAAGAACGUGCGUGAGAGUAACUGUUCACGCAGUGACGGUAUCCAACCAGAAAGUCACGGCUAACUACGUGCCAGCAGCCGCGGUAAUACGUAGGUGGCAAGCGUUAUCCGGAUUUAUUGGGCGUAAAGCGAGCGCAGGCGGUUGCUUAGGUCUGAUGUGAAAGCCUUCGGCUUAACCGAAGAAGGGCAUCGGAAACCGGGCGACUUGAGUGCAGAAGAGGACAGUGGAACUCCAUGUGUAGCGGUGGAAUGCGUAGAUAUAUGGAAGAACACCAGUGGCGAAGGCGGCUGUCUGGUCUGCAACUGACGCUGAGGCUCGAAAGCAUGGGUAGCGAACAGGAUUAGAUACCCUGGUAGUCCAUGCCGUAAACGAUGAGUGCUAGGUGUUGGAGGGUUUCCGCCCUUCAGUGCCGGAGCUAACGCAUUAAGCACUCCGCCUGGGAGUACAACCCA